GAUGAACGCUGGCGGCGUGCCUAAUACAUGCAAGUCGAGCGAACGGACGAGAAGCUUGCUUCUCUGAUGUUAGCGGCGGACGGGUGAGUAACACGUGGAUAACCUACCUAUAAGACUGGGAUAACUUCGGGAAACCGGGGCUAAUACCGGAUAAUAUUUUGAACCGCAUGGUUCAAAAGUAAAAGACGGUCUUGCUGUCACUUAUAGAUGGAUCCGCGCUGCAUUAGCUAGUUGGUAAGGUAACGGCUUACCAAGGCAACGAUGCAUAGCCGACCUGAGAGGGUGAUCGGCCACACUGGAACUGAGACACGGUCCAGACUCCUACGGGAGGCAGCAGUAGGGAAUCUUCCGCAAAGGGCGAAAGCCUGACGGAGCAACGCCGCGUGAGUGAUGAAGGUCUUCGGAUCGUAAAACCCUGUUAUUAGGGAAGAACAUAUGUGUAAGUAACUGUGCACAUCUUGACGGUACCUAAUCAGAAAGCCACGGCUAACUACGUG
rnacentral:rRNA from 1 species